UACGGGGGGGGGCAAGCGUUGUUCGGAAUUACUGGGCGUAAAGGGCUCGUAGGCGGCCCGCUAAGUCGAACGUGAAAUCCCCGAGCUCAACUCGGGAACUGCGUCCGAUACUGGCGGGCUUGAAUCCGGGAGAGGGAUGCGGAAUUCCAGGUGUAGCGGUGAAAUGCGUAGAUAUCUGGAGGAACACCGGUGGCGAAGGCGGCAUCCUGGACCGGCAUUGACGCUGAGGAGCGAAAGCUAGGGGAGCAAAACGGG
rnacentral:rRNA from 1 species